AUGGAGGAGGGCGAGGUGGACGAGGGCCAUGGGCGAGGCGGCCAUGGUGGGGAGGCAGGGGGCGGCCAACUCUUGGAGGACGGGCAAGGCGACCAUGGUGGGAAGGCGGGGGGCGGCCAACUCCUGGAGGACGGGCGAGGCAGCCAUGGUGGGGAGGCGGGGGGCGGCCAACCCCUGGAGGACGGGCGAGGCGGCCAUGGUGGGGAGGCGGGGGGCGGCCAACCUGCUGACGACGGGCAAAGCGGCCAUGGUGGGGAGGUGGAGGGCGGCCAUGGUGGGGAGGCCGGCUGUGCGGCGGUCUCAGCCUUGCGUGGUAAAGGCGCAACACCGGAGCAAGGCCAAGUAUCACCGAGGGAUGCGGCUACAUCGGCUUGUCUAGAUGGGAUGGACCAAAAUUCAACUUAUGUGCUGAAAAUCAAUUUGCUUGGCAACCCAAAAAAGGCUAGAAAGGAUAUCAAAUGCUUCUGUUUUGAUAAGGUUAUUGAUUUCGACUUAACAAAUUAUAAGGACUUGGUUGAAUCAAUCGUAGAGCAGUACUCGCCUCGUUAUUUGGAAGUUGCACAUGUUCAGUAUUAUGAUGAUGUUCUUAAAAUCUACCCUGAAGUAACAUCUGACCAAGAAUUGGUGUCGAUGUUUGAGAAACACUCUAAGACAAAGGUUGUGCACAUGUUUGUUGCAUAUUGUGAUCCAUCGGAACCAUAUGAGCCUAUAACGGAGUGGCAUAGUGAUGCGCAUAGCCAACCUAACAACAUAGAACAAGAUGAUGAUGAUGAUUAUCUUCGCAACCCAGUACCUGAGAAUGAGCUUGUUGGUGUUGAUGAGGAAAAUAUUUAUUUAGAGGAUGAACCUGUACCUCUUAUCAUGGUUCCUUGUUCCAACAAAGAAAAGGACAAAGACUAUGUUCCUGAUCAUGAGAGCGAGGCUGAGAGCGAGGAUGAGAGCAUGUCAGAGGUUGAAGUAGAGGAAGAUGAGGAAUAUCACGAGGCAGAUCAUGCACCACACAUUGAAUAUAAUAAAUUAGAUCCUCCAAUGAACGAAGGAAGAAAAUAUCCCAAUAUGGCAGAGUUUAAAUUGGCGCUUUCUCAGCAUGCAAUCGAACAUGAAUUUGAGUUUGACACCGAAAAGAGUGCACCACAUAGGUUCAGAGCUUAUUGUUCAAGAAGGGAUGAAGAUAAGUGUCCAUGGAGGAUAUAUGCUUCUACAAUGGAAGAUGAGUGCACAGUAAUGGUGAGAAAGAACCCUUGUGGUCAUGAUUGA
rnacentral:rRNA from 1 species